CUCCCCCGUCCCUCCUGUCUGGUGUAGGAGCGGCGUUCGGAAUUUUUCGAAAGAGGCGCCGUUUCGGCAAGGCUGUUUUGUCAGGUUGGCCGCCGUGUAAGUGCCUGUCGCUUGAGGAGGUGAAGCUGGAUGUCCGCGUUGGAGGUGACGUGUGCCCGGUGAGCUGUGACUGCUAGGCAGAAGCCGUUGCUGUCGCUGAAGUCUGACUUGGUGGUGCCAGUCUAAGCCUCCAGGACGGUGUGUUUUAAGCAAUCCCCUGCCAAGAUGCCGAACUUGUCUCAGCAGCCGAUGAGAGUUUGUCUGCCUGUGAUGCCAUUCCUUGAAGGAAGGGGAGAAUGUUUGAGCUUCUGGGCCACCGUGGAUCUUUUGGAGCUUGUCAGCCCAUCGGUUUCCUACGGCUUCCUCCUCCGAGUCUCCUGAUGGGAGAGUGAACAGAGGAUGCAAGAGGAGCCAAGUGUGAUGGACCUUCCCUCGUUUCACAGUAAGUACUCAGA